CCUACGGGAGGCAGCAGUAAGGAAUAUUGGUCAAUGGACGAAAGUCUGAACCAGCCACGCCGCGUGAAGGAUUAAGGCCCUCUGGGUUGUAAACUUCUUUUAUCUGGGACGAAAAAAGGGUAUUCUUACUCACUUGACGGUACCAGAGGAAUAAGCACCGGCUAACUCCGUGCCAGCAGCCGCGGUAAUACGGAGGGUGCAAGCGUUAUCCGGAUUUACUGGGUUUAAAGGGUGCGUAGGUGGGCUUGUAAGUCAGUGGUGAAAUCUCCGGGCUUAACCCGGAAACUGCCAUUGAUACUAUAGGUCUUGAAUUAUCUGGAGGUAAGCGGAAUAUGUCAUGUAGCGGUGAAAUGCUUAGAUAUGACAUAGAACACCAAUUGCGAAGGCAGCUUACUACGGAUAUAUUGACACUGAGGCACGAAAGCGUGGGGAUCAAACAGGAUUAGAUACCCUGUAGUCCACGCCCUAAACCGAUGGAUACUCGACAUCAGCGAUACACUGUUGGUGUCUGAGCGAAAGCAUUAAGUAUCCACCUGGGAAGUACGAUCGCAAGAAUUGAAACUUAAAUUGAAUUGACGG
rnacentral:rRNA from 1 species